UACAGAGGGUGCAAGCGUUAAUCGGAAUUACUGGGCGUAAAGCGUGCGUAGACGGUUAUGUAAGUCGGGUGUGAAAGCCCCGGGCUCAACCUGGGAAUUGCAUUCGAGACUGCAUAGCUAGGGUGCGGAAGAGGGAAGCGGAAUUUCCGGUGUAGCGGUGAAAUGCGUAGAUAUCGGAAGGAACACCAGUGGCGAAAGCGGCUCCUGGUCCAGCAUCGACGUCAGGCACGAAAGCGUGGGGAGCAAACAGG
rnacentral:rRNA from 1 species